UAGGGAAUCUUCGGCAAUGGACGAAAGUCUGACCGAGCAACGCCGCGUGAGUGAAGAAGGUUUUCGGAUCGUAAAACUCUGUUGUUAGAGAAGAACAAGGACGUUAGUAACUGAACGUCCCCUGACGGUAUCUAACCAGAAAGCCACGGCUAACUACGUGCCAGCAGCCGCGGUAAUACGUAGGUGGCAAGCGUUGUCCGGAUUUAUUGGGCGUAAAGCGAGCGCAGGCGGUUUCUUAAGUCUGAUGUGAAAGCCCCCGGCUCAACCGGGGAGGGUCAUUGGAAACUGGGUGACUUGAGUGCAGAAGAGGAGAGUGGAAUUCCAUGUGUAGCGGUGAAAUGCGUAGAUAUAUGGUGGAACACCAGUGGCGAAGGCGGCUCUCUGGUCUGUAACUGACGCUGAGGCUCGAAAGCGUGGGGUGCAAACAGG
rnacentral:rRNA from 1 species